rnacentral:rRNA from 1 species
UCCGAAUGGGGAAACCCACUGCUUCGGCAGUAUCCUGCAGUGAAUUCAUAGCUGCUGGAAGCGAACCCGGUGAACUGAAAUAUCUAAGUAACCGGAGGAAAAGAAAUCAACCGAGAUUCCCUAAGUAGUGACGAGCGAACGGGGAACAGCCCUUAAGCUGGAAUGGCUUUAGAAAAACAAUCUGGAAAGAUUGGCCAUAGAAGGUGAUAGCCCUGUAUUUAAAAGGGCCACUCCAGUGAAGACGAGUAGGGCGGGGCACGUGAAACCCUGUCUGAAUAUGGGGGGACCAUCCUCCAAGGCUAAAUACUCCUGACCGACCGAUAGUGAACCAGUACCGUGAGGGAAAGGCGAAAAGAACCCCGGAGAGGGGAGUGAAAUAGAUCCUGAAACCGUGUGCGUACAAGCAGUAGGAGCUCGCAAGAGUGACUGCGUACCUUUUGUAUAAUGGGUCAGCGACUUACUGUUCGUGGCAAGCUUAACCGUAUAGGGGAGGCGAAGGGAAACCGAGUCUGAUAAGGGCGCAUAGUCGCGGGCAGUAGACCCGAAACCGGGUGAUCUAGUCAUGGCCAGGGUGAAGGUGCCGUAACAGGUACUGGAGGCCCGAACCCACGUCUGUUGCAAAAGACGGGGAUGAGCUGUGAUUAGGAGUGAAAAGCUAAUCGAACCCGGAGAUAGCUGGUUCUCCUCGAAAGCUAUUUAGGUAGCGCCUCGGACGAAUACUACUGGGGGUAGAGCACUGUUAUGGCUAGGGGGUCAUCGCGACUUACCAAACCAUUGCAAACUCCGAAUACCAGUACGUACUAUCCGGGAGACACACGGCGGGUGCUAACGUCCGUCGUGAAAAGGGAAACAACCCAGACCCACAGCUAAGGUCCCAAAUUCACUGCUAAGUGGAAAACGAUGUGGAAAGGCAUAGACAGCCAGGAGGUUGGCUUAGAAGCAGCCACCCUUUAAAGAAAGCGUAAUAGCUCACUGGUCGAGUCGGUCUGCGCGGAAGAUUUAACGGGGCUAAGCAGUGAACCGAAGCUUGGGGUGCAUAAAACUUGUUUUAUGCGCGGUAGAGGAGCGUUCCGUAAGCCUGCGAAGGUGGAUUGAGAAGUCUGCUGGAGGUAUCGGAAGUGCGAAUGCUGACAUGAGUAACGAUAAUGCGGGUGAAAAGCCCGCACGCCGAAAGCCCAAGGUUUCCUUGCGCAACGUUAAUCGACGCAGGGUUAGUCGGUCCCUAAGGCGAGGGCGAAAGCCGUAGUCGAUGGGAAGCAGGUUAAUAUUCCUGCACCUCGCGUGAGUGCGAUGGAGGGACGGAGAAGGUUAGGUGUACCGGGCGUUGGUUGUCCCGGGGAAAGGCGGUAGGUUUGGAUCUUUGGCAAAUCCGGGAUCCUUUAAGACCGAGCACCGAGACGAGCCUUUAUGGCGAAGUCACUGAUACCACGCUUCCAGGAAAAGCUCCUAAGCUUCAGCUCACGAAGACCGUACCGUAAACCGACACAGGUGGGUAGGAUGAGAAUUCUCAGGCGCUUGAGAGAACUCGGGUGAAGGAACUAGGCAACAUGGCACCGUAACUUCGGGAGAAGGUGCACCCUUUUUGGUGGCUCAUGCGAGCUAUAGCUGAAGAGGGUCGCAGAAACCAGGCCGCUGCGACUGUUUAUCAAAAACACAGCACUCUGCAAACACGAAAGUGGACGUAUAGGGUGUGACGCCUGCCCGGUGCUGGAAGGUUAAUUGAUGGGGUCAGCCGCAAGGCGAAGCUCUUGAUCGAAGCCCCAGUAAACGGCGGCCGUAACUAUAACGGUCCUAAGGUAGCGAAAUUCCUUGUCGGGUAAGUUCCGACCUGCACGAAUGGCGUAACGACAGCGGCGCUGUCUCCACCCGAGACUCAGUGAAAUUGAAAUCGCUGUGAAGAUGCAGCGUUCCCGUGGCAAGACGGAAAGACCCCGUGAACCUUUACUAUAGCUUUACACUGAACGUUGAGUUCGUCUGUGUAGGAUAGGUGGGAGGCUAUGAAACUGUGGCGCUAGCUGCAGGGGAGCCAUCCUUGAAAUACCACCCUGUCGUGCUUGACGUUCUAACCUAGAUCCGUUAUCCGGAUCAGGGACCGUGUAUGGUGGGUAGUUUGACUGGGGCGGUCUCCUCCUAAAGAGUAACGGAGGAGCACGAAGGUACGCUCAGCGCGGUCGGACAUCGCGCACUGUGUGCAAAGGCAUAAGCGUGCUUGACUGCAAGAUCGACGGAUCAAGCAGGUACGAAAGUAGGUCUUAGUGAUCCGGUGGUUCUGUAUGGAAGGGCCAUCGCUCAACGGAUAAAAGGUACUCCGGGGAUAACAGGCUGAUACCGCCCAAGAGUUCAUAUCGACGGCGGUGUUUGGCACCUCGAUGUCGGCUCAUCACAUCCUGGGGCUGUAGUCGGUCCCAAGGGUAUGGCUGUUCGCCAUUUAAAGUGGUACGCGAGCUGGGUUCAGAACGUCGUGAGACAGUUCGGUCCCUAUCUGCCAUGGGCGUUGGAAGUUUGAGAGGGGCUGCUCCUAGUACGAGAGGACCGGAGUGGACGAACCUCUGGUGUUCCGGUUGUCACGCCAGUGGCAUUGCCGGGUAGCUAUGUUCGGAAGCGAUAACCGCUGAAAGCAUCUAAGCGGGAAGCGCGCCUCAAGAUGAGACUUCCCGGGGCACAAGCCCCCUAAAGGAACCAUGUAGACUACGUGGUUGAUAGGUCAGGUGUGU